GAUCGGCGUACAGUACUGGAGACGUGUCCCCAAAACGGUGCCGAGGGAAGUAAGCCACAGCAACAGCAUCUAAAAAGGUGGAAAGCUGAAAAAUCACGCGUCGGGUGGAGUUUGGUAGGUCAUUUACUUGAUUCGAAGAAGUCAGGCCCG
rnacentral:ncRNA from 1 species